GGGUAACGUCAAAAUGCUGAGGUGUUACCUGUUCCAAUCUUCCUAUAGAAAUUUCUCUAGUUCCUUGCUUGUAGUGCUUAAGUGAGUCCUGCAGGUCACGUAUCUCCAGAGACAUGA
rnacentral:snoRNA from 1 species